rnacentral:tRNA from 1 species
AGGGCAGAAGCUCAGCGGAUAAAGUCUUCGCCUGAUAUGCGAAUAGACCCGGGUUCGAUAUGUCGGCUGCUCCA